rnacentral:rRNA from 1 species
CCUACGGGUGGCAGCAGUGAGGAAUAUUGGUCAAUGGACGCAAGUCUGAACCAGCCAAGCCGCGUGCAGGAAGACGGCUCUAUGAGUUGUAAACUGCUUUUGUACGGGGAUAAACGCAGAUACGCGUAUCUGUCUGAAAGUAUCGUACGAAUAAGGAUCGGCUAACUCCGUGCCAGCAGCCGCGGUAAUACGGAGGAUUCGAGCGUUAUCCGGAUUUAUUGGGUUUAAAGGGUGCGUAGGCGGUCGGAUAAGUCAGGGGUGAAAUCCCGAGGCUCAACUUCGGAAUUGCCUUUGAUACUGGCAGGCUAGAGAGUAGUAGAGGUAGGCGGAAUGGAUGGUGUAGCGGUGAAAUGCUUAGAGAUCAUACAGAACACCGAUUGCGAAGGCAGCUUGCCGAGCUACUUCUGACGUUGAGGCACGAAAGCGUGGGGAGCAAACAGGAUUAGAUACCCCUGUAGUC